rnacentral:rRNA from 1 species
CAGUAGCCGCGGGAAAACAGAGGGUGCGAGCGUUAAUCGGAUUUACUGGGCGUAAAGCGCGCGUAGGCGGUUACUCAAGUCAGAGGUGAAAGCCCGGGGCUCAACCCCGGAACUGCCUUUGAAACUAGGUGACUAGAAUCUUGGAGAGGUCAGUGGAAUUCCGAGUGUAGAGGUGAAAUUCGUAGAUAUUCGGAAGAACACCAGUGGCGAAGGCGACUGACUGGACAAGUAUUGACGCUGAGGUGCGAAAGCGUGGGGAGCAAACAGGAUUAGAUACCCCCGUAGUCCCUGUCUCUUAUAC